GUUACAAACGUCGCUAUCAGUCUAUUGCAUCCUCCGCCUAUAAAAAGGGGACCCCAGAUACGUUAUUCUCUAAGCUCUAAUCUCUAUCUCAAAACUCUGCAAAAAUUUUUGUUCGAGCACUCCAUUCUUGUUGAGGCAGAGAACUGACUUGAACAUCGGAGGGUCUUGCCGGAGUACCCCAAACUUCGGUUUAGACUUCCUUUGCAGGUCCCGGCGGUGACCACGACUCCCUCGACUCCAGCUUCUCCGACGUCGGUGGAUUUUUGCACCAACAGGAUUGGUGCUAGAGGAAGGGCCCUGCUGUCUUCACAGUACCCUUGUUCUUAAAGGAGCGCUCAACGGGAUCACCUCCGGUCAUAUUCUCCGACAUCCUCUUCUCCUUCCUCUACUGGAUCUUCGCCCGAUGCCUCUCCGCAAAGCAUUCACCCGACGAUCCACGACCUCCAUGGCCAGAUCUCAAGCCUCGGCCUCAUCUCCGAUUUCCCAGGCUCCUCUUCCUCCGGUGAC
rnacentral:lncRNA from 1 species